UACAGAGGCCUCGAGCGUUAGGCGGAAUCACUGGGCUUAAAGCGUGUGUAGGCGGAUGCCUAAGUACCUUGUGAAAUCCCACGGCUCACCCGUGGAACGGCUGGGUAUACUGGGUGUCUUGAGCCACUUAGGGGCUGCCGGAACAAAUGGUGGAGCGGUGAAAUGCGUAGAUAUCAGGAGGAACACCUGCGGUGUAGACGGCUUUCUGGACCAUUGCUGACGCUGAGACACGAAAGCGUGGGUAGCAAACAGG
rnacentral:rRNA from 1 species